GCCGAGCUUAGUUGCGUGAGCUUGUAACCCGAGUGGAGGCAAUAAAAUGAUGUGGAUGCUGUUGUAGUAGUGCUGCGGGCCUGGUCUAGUUGUGCUACUGCUGGCCUGCCCGUACCAAGUUGAGUAGUGGACCGCUUGAGGCCUAUGCGAAAGCUGGGCCUCACGGUUCAUAAUGUGGCACUUGGGCCUCAGCAGCCUACUCUAGCGAACCAUCACUUUU
rnacentral:SRP_RNA from 9 species